GCUUGAGUGUGGUAGGGGCAGAGGGAAUUCCCGGUGUAGCGGUGAAAUGCGUAGAUAUCGGGAAGAACACCAGUGGCGAAGGCGCUCUGCUGGGCCAUAACUGACGCUCAUGGACGAAAGCCAGGGGAGCGAAAGGGAUUAGAUACCCCUGUAGUCCUGGCCGUAAACGAUGAACACUAGGUGUCGGGGGAAUCGACCCCCUCGGUGUCGUAGCCAACGCGUUAAGUGUUCCGCCUGGGGAGUACGCACGCAAGUGUGAAACUCAAAGGAAUUGACGGGGGCCCGCACAAGCGGUAGAGUAUGUGGUUUAAUUCGAUGCAACGCGAAGAACCUUACCAGGGUUUGACAUCCUGCGAACCUCUUGGAAACGAGAGGGUGCCUUCGGGAGCGCAGUGACAGGUGGUGCAUGGCUGUCGUCAGCUCGUGUCGUGAGAUGUUGGGUUAAGUCCCGCAACGAGCGCAACCCACGUCCUUAGUUGCCAGCAUUUAGUUGGGCACUCUAGAGAGACCGCCGGUGAUAAACCGGAGGAAGGUGUGGAUGACGUCAAGUCAUCAUGCCCCUUACAUCCUGGGCUACACACGUACUACAAUGCUACGGACAAAGAGCAGCAAGUUCGCGAGGACAAGCAAAUCUCAUAAACCGUGGCUCAGUUCAGAUCGUAGGCUGCAACUCGCCUACGUGAAGGAGGAAUCGCUAGUAAUCGCAGGUCAGCAUACUGCGGUGAAUACGUUCCCGGGCCUUGUACACACCGCCCGUCACACCAUGGAAGUUGGCCACGCCCGAAGCCGUUACUCCAACCCUUGUGGAGGAGGACGUCGAAGGUGGGGCUGAUGACUGGGGUGAAGUCGUAACAAGGUAACCGUA
rnacentral:rRNA from 1 species